ACUGGACUGCGGGUGCAACUCCUGCGGUGGCUCUUCCGGCCGCUUAUCCGCCGGAUCAUU
rnacentral:ncRNA from 1 species